UACGUAGGGUCCGAGCGUUGUCCGGAAUUACUGGGCGUAAAGAGCUCGUAGGUGGUUUGUCGCGUUGUUCGUGAAAACUCACAGCUCAACUGUGGGCGUGCGGGCGAUACGGGCAGACUUGAGUACUGCAGGGGAGACUGGAAUUCCUGGUGUAGCGGUGGAAUGCGCAGAUAUCAGGAGGAACACCGGUGGCGAAGGCGGGUCGCUGGGCAGUAACUGACGCUGAGGAGCGAAAGCGUGGGGAGCGAACAGG
rnacentral:rRNA from 1 species